rnacentral:rRNA from 1 species
AACGAACGCUGGCGGCAUGCCUAACACAUGCAAGUCGAACGAGACCUUCGGGUCUAGUGGCGCACGGGUGCGUAACGCGUGGGAACCUGCCCUUAGGUUCGGAAUAACUCCCCGAAAGGGGUGCUAAUACCGGAUAAUGUCUUCGGACCAAAGAUUUAUCGCCUUUGGAUGGGCCUGCGUUGGAUUAGCUAGUUGGUAGGGUAAAAGCCUGCCAAGGCGAGGAUCCAUAGCUGGUUUGAGAGGCUGAUCAGCCACACUGGGACUGAGAAACGGCCCAGAAUCCUACGGGAGGCAGCAGUGGAGAAUAUUGGACAAUGGGCGAAAGCCUGAUCCAGCAAUGCCGCGUGAGUGAUGAAGGCCUUAGGGUUGUAAAGCUAUUUUACCCGGGAUGAUAAUGACAGUACCGGGAGAAUAAGCUCCGGCUAACUCCGUG